rnacentral:rRNA from 1 species
CAAAAACAUAGCUAUAAGGGCUUGUUUAUAGUGCUUUCUGCACAAUGUUACUAUAAAUUGCCGCAGUACCCUGACUGUGCUAAGGUAGCAUAAUCAUUUGGCUUAUAAUUGAAGUCUAGUAUGAACGAAGUUAUGGGGGUAGGCUGUUUCAAACAAGUAGUUCUAAUUUGCCUGGGGGGUGAAAAUGCCCUCGCAUAGAUAAAAGACGAGAAGACCCUUGAAAUUUUGAGCACACUAGUUCAGGUUUGUAUUUUUGUUGGGGCGACAAAGUAGCAUACAACCUACUGAUUUGCAUGGGCAACGUUUAGGUGGAAAAAUUAAAUUACUCUAGGGAUAACAGCAUAAUAUUUUGAAGUUUGUGACCUCGAUGUUGGACUAGGAAAAUAUAGUUUAGAAGACGACUAUGCUUGCUCUGUUCGAG